CAUUGACUAGUCCGCACGUUAAAUAAAAUAAAAGCGUGAAGAAACCCCAUAAUAGCGGGAUUAAUUUGAGAGUUGGACGAUGGUCAAUGGGGUGCAGGAUGGAACUGGGGAAGCCUUUGAUAGUUAUGGUAUGCGGGAGCCUCGUCUACUACCACUGUGCAUAUCGCAACUCCAGCCUCCUCUCUCUCCUCUCCGACGUCCUCAUCGUCCUCCUCUGCUCCCUCGCGAUCCUCGGCCUCCUUUUUCGCCAGAUGAACAUCUCGGUACCUGUAGAUCCCCUCGAAUGGCAAAUCUCUCAGGACACUGCUACUAGCAUUGUUGCUUGCUUGGCUAACACCAUAGGAGCAGCUGAGUCUGUUUUGAGGGUUGCUGCGACCGGCCAUGACAAGAGGCUAUUUUUAAAGGUGGUUGCCACACUUUAUGUGCUAUCAGCUUUGGGACGAGUGGUAUCGGGUGUCACCGUUGCUUAUGUUGGAUUAUGCCUGUUUUGUCUGUACUUGUUUGCUGAAAGCUCACAAUUGAUCAGCACAUGUUUCUCUCAGUUUCUAGGGAGAAGAGACUGCACAAAUGAGGCACAGGAUAACAUGUAGCUUCUAAUAUCUGAAUGAUGCAGGAACCCUCGCAUAUUUGACACCGUACCUGGACGCCGACACAGCGUGUCGCUUCGGGGCGACGACCUAGCCCAACCUUGCCCACUUUUCGCUACACCCGGGUGGUUCAAGUGCAACGCGUCACUCGUAAGGGACGCCCCAGCAAAUAUUCGUUUUCCAAUGGGGACUGAGGACUCAUCUGCAUAUUGUGUUGAUCAUUGUCUUGAUGGCAGAGACCAUCUCUUCUUCAAGUGCAGUUUUGAGCUUGUAUCUACCGAAGUUUUGGAAUGCAAAAAUAAACAUGAGCAUGAAAGGAUUCACACUGAUACUAAAGACACUGCUAAGAGGAUCUUUUGUUUGGCGUAAAAGGCAAUUUGAUGGGUUCUAGGGAAGCUCAUGGUGAAGGUAAAGGAAGGUUGUAAUGGUAGCUUUAGGACAAUUGGCAAUCCAAGAUCCUAAUUAUAGGUCAAAAUGGCUCAAAGUAAAGCCAAAAUCUAGUGAAAAUUUCAAAAUAUGGUGGCUAAACUUAAUUCAUCAUGAUUUUUGUAAAAUGCAAGAGAACUUGGAAUUGCUCCACAUGGGGGCGUGCCGCUAUUAAUUCUCCUCUAGUAGUUGGUCUCAAGGGGCGAUGAUUUCAAAAGAGUAUGGAAUUCCAAAAUUUGGUGAGUCAAUAAUGAAAUAGGCCUUUCCAUGGUUUUUGGUUUUCAAUGGCG